rnacentral:rRNA from 1 species
UACAGAGGUCUCAAGCGUUGUUCGGAUUCAUUGGGCGUAAAGGGUGCGUAGGUGGCGCGUUUAAGUCAGGUGUGAAAUUUCGGAGCUUAACUCCGAAACUGCAUUCGAUACUGCCGUGCUUGAGGACUGGAGAGGAGACUGGAAUUUACGGUGUAGCGGUGAAAUGCGUAGAUAUCGUAAGGAAGACCAGUGGCGAAGGCGCCUAUCUGGCUGACAACUGACGCUGAGACUCGAAAGCAUGGGGGAGCAAACAGG